CCUUCUCCGAGAUGGAGGAAAGCGGGGAGAAAGAACAACUGUGGGGCACUCUACCCUUCUGAUUCCUUAUUUGUUUUUCUCUGUAACUCAGUGGGUCAUCAUGGGGACAGCCAAGAACAACCACACUGUACUGAAACUUCCCCUCCUUGACAAACCCAAGACACAGAAAAACUAUGCCCAACCUGAGGUUCUGUGUCACACCUUUGAGACCCUGUCUAACCUUCACAAACUGCUGCCAAAUCAUAUGAUGGAGACACUCUACUUCUACAAGAGGGAAGAGGACAAACAAAAUUGUCGGAAUUCUGAAUUCUCUGGCUUAGAAAGGAUCUUAGCAAGACAUCAGUUUCCAAAAGAGAUUAAUCUGACUCCCAAUCCAAGUAGCAUGCCCCUGUGGAGAAGAAAAUGCAUCAACAAUGCAAAUCGUGGGUGGAAGAAAUGUCAAUUGUGGAAUAAAAGCCUUGAGGAACCUCCGAUGUCAACCAUAGUUGUCAGAUGGUUGAAAAAGAACAUGCAACCCGCCGAAGACCUCCAGUCAGUAAUCCAGAGGCUGUCAGUGUUUGGGCCAAUUAAGUCAGUCACCUUCUGUGGACGGCAAAGUGCUAUCGUGGUGUUCGAAGACCUGACUUCAGCUUGUAAUGCUGUGAAUGCUUUUCAAAGCAGGACCACAGGCACAAUGUUUCAGUGUUCCUGGCAACAGCGUUUCAUGUCAAAAGAUAAAACAUAUUCAAGAAGAUGUACUGCAAAGUCACAGCCUAAGGAUUACAAGCAGGAAAUUGAAAGAAAAGGCUAAUCAUAGCUAAGGGGACACGAACAGGAGGACAUUCCUAAAGAAGGAAUAGCUGAACUGAGAUCUGAAGGAGGAGCAAGGAAAGUUGCAGUGCUUUUUGGACAUGCAGAACCUACCCGAAGCCAACAAGUUCUAAAUAAUGAAUGCCCAACUUGGUUGUGUGAAG